rnacentral:lncRNA from 1 species
UUCACUUUAAAUGGGUAUACUGUAUGGUAUGUGAAUUAUAAUCGCAAUGAAUCUAUUCUAAAAAUAUAGUUAUUGAAAAUAUAUAAUUAUAAAAAGCAUUAUGAAGCUAUUCCCCCCCACACCAGAAGCUAUUUUAAUAAAAGAUUUUAACCUACUAGAAAUAAAAGGAAAAUUAAGUAGUCAAGAGUUCUAAUCCUUCUCUGUUAACCACAGGAAACCUGGCUGUUUGGACUGGGUGUCUGUGUCAACAGACCACCACCAACCUGGAACAGUAUUUGCUAAUAACAAGCAAAGUAUUCCUGAGUAAUAAUAGCUUCUUGAUUGUUGGACUCCCAUAAAGCAGUCAUUAUUAAGCUUUUUAACUUUUUUUUUGUUGGGGUGGGGGUGGUGUGCGUAAAGUAUUGCAUUAUGUUUACUUUAGUAUAUAUUGCCACCAGUUUUUCCAAAUCUGAUCUUUGAGAAUCUGGUAUAAACUAUGGUUCUUCUGUCCCCCAAAUGUGCUUAAGCACAAAUACAUACAUGCAAUAUUAUACGUAUUUUAGGAUGUACAUAGAUCCCCUGAAACCAACCAAUGCAGCUCAGUUUCUAUAAAAUUAAAGCAAGGUCACAGGAAUUAACAGUGGCUUUUAUUUAUCCAGACUUCUGCUCAGCACAAUCAUAUGCUCAUAAAUAUAUGACUUGACAGUUCCAAAGACCUGCAGUAUGGCUGGUUGGGGUAUAAAUUGGUACAACAUACUUUGGAAAGCUGGUGGCAAUAUAUACUAAAGCUGUACAUAAUCCAAAACCCAUGACCUUGCAAUCCCUCUCCUAGGUAUAUAUACCCGAUUGAAAUGCAUUCUUUGCGAUGCGGGUAAAGAGGGGAUGGUUAAUGGGUACACAAAAUAUAGAAAGAAAAGUAAGAUCUAGUAUUUGCUAUCACAACAGGGUGACUAUAGUAAAAAAUAAUUGUUCAUUAAAAAAUAACUAAAAGAGAGGCCAGGUGCGGUGGCUCAUGCCUGGCCUCCCAAAGUGCUUGGAUUACGGGAGUGAGCCACCAUUCCCAGCUAGCCACCUCAUUUAAAAUAGUAUUACUUGGCCGGGUGCAGUGGCUGACGCCUGUAAUUCCAGCACUUUGGGAGGCCGAGGCGGGUUGGGAUCAAGCCAGCCUGGCGAACAUGGUGAAACCUCAACUCUCCUAAAAUUACAAAAUUAGUAAUCGAGACCAUUCUGGGUAACAUGGUGAAAUCCCAUCUCUACUAAAAAUACAAAAAAUUAGC